rnacentral:misc_RNA from 1 species
GCAGAACGGAAUCGUCUUGCUGUGCUGCGAAGUGAUCACAAGGAGAUCACAGAGAAAAUAUCUGAAAAUAUACUAGCUCUGCAUUCAGCUAGGCUUGCUUCUAGGCCAUCAUCCCGUAAGGAUUCAGGCCAUGAUGGAGCAUCAAAUAAUCAAGACUUAUCAACUGGCACUGCUGCAUCUGCAUCCUCCCAUAAUGUUGUUCUGGGGGAGGCUCCCAGUUCCAUGGAUUUGGAUGUGAUUGUCAGCAUACCCUUUGCAGUGGUUGAUGAAAUAGCGGAUGGAUCCCCUACAGCAGAGGAUGGUUUACAGCUUGGAGAUCAGAUUGUUAAAUUUGGCAGUGUGGAAUAUAAAGUUGGUGAUAAUCUUCUGCAAUGUCUUGCCACUGAGGCUCAGGCAAAUCAGGGUCAUGCUAUACCUGUUGUAGUUUUGAGGCAAGGUGCCCCAUUCAAUGUAACAGUAACUCCAAGAGCAUGGCAAGGCAGAGGUCUACUGGGUUGCAGUUUCCGGAUUUUAUAACUGGUUAUGUUCUGUUAUGCCAUGGUGUUGCAGUUGCAAGGCGGUGCUUGAAGUGGCAUGCUGACAGGGAACCCUACAUUUCUUGUUUCUUAUUUCUGGAAAGCAAACUAAUUAUUGUGUGUAGUUUCAGGAUUUUAUAACUGGAUACAUAGAGUCACAUGUUUGGAUUACUUGAGCUUCUGUUGAAAGAUACCUGAAUACACAUCUUUUGAUUCAUUUGCCUGUUAUUCGGCUUUUUCUUUUUUAG